rnacentral:piRNA from 1 species
UGAGAAGUCUUAAGGUGUGUGCCUAGGGU